rnacentral:rRNA from 1 species
AGGAUCCGAGCGUUAUCCGGAUUUAUUGGGUUUAAAGGGUGCUCAGGCGGGGGAUUAAGUCGGCGGUGAAAUUUUGCAGCUCAACUGUAAAAGUGCCUUCGAAACUGGUUUCCUUGAGUGCGGAUGAGGUAGGCGGAAUUUGUGGUGUAGCGGUGAAAUGCAUAGAUAUCACGAGGAACUCCGAUUGCGCAGGCAGCUUACCAAGCCGUAACUGACGCUCAAGCACGAAGGCGUGGGGAUCAAACAGGAUUAGAUACCCUGGUAGUCCACGCAGUAAACGAUGAUUACUGGCUGUUUGCGAUAUAAUGUAAGCGGCUGAGCGAAAGCGUUAAGUAAUCCACCUGGGGAGUACGUUCGCAAGAAUGAAACUCAAAGGAAUUGACGGGGGCCCGCACAAGCGGAGGAACAUGUGGUUUAAUUCGAUGAUACGCGAGGAACCUUACCCGGGCUUGAAAUGCAUCUGGCGUCCCGAGAGAUCGGGAUUUCCCACGGGACAGAUGCGUAGGUGCUGCAUGGUUGUCGUCAGCUCGUGCCGUGAGGUGUCGGCUUAAGUGCCAUAACGAGCGCAACCCCUACCGUUAGUUGCCAUCAGGUCAAGCUGGGGACUCUAACGAGACUGCCAUCGUAAGGUGCGAGGAAGGUGGGGAUGACGUCAAAUCAGCACGGCCCUUACGUCCGGGGCGACACACGUGUUACAAUGGGUGGUACAAAGGGCAGCUACAUGGCGACAUGGUGCCAAUCUCCAAAACCACUCUCAGUUCGGAUCGGAGUCUGCAACUCGACUCCGUGAAGCUGGAUUCGCUAGUAAUCGCGCAUCAGCCACGGCGCGGUGAAUACGUUCCCGGGCCUUGUACACACCGCCCGUCAAGCCAUGGAAGCUGGGGGUGCCUGAAGUCCGUAACCGUCAAAGGAGCGGCCUAGGGUAAAACCGGUGACUGGGGCUAAGUCGUAACAAGGUAGCCGUACCGGAAGGUGC